rnacentral:rRNA from 1 species
CCCUUAGAUGUUCUGGGCCGCACACGCGCUACACUGAAGGAGGCAGCGUGUACUCCUGGAUCGAAAGAUUUGGGUAACCCGCGAAUCUCCUUCGUGCUAGGGAUUGAGGUUUGCAAUUAUCCUUCAUGAACGAGGAAUUCCCAGUAAGUGCAAGUCAUAAGCUUGCGCUGACUACGUCCCUGCCCUUUGUACACACCGCCCGUCGCUACUACCGAUUGAAUGAUUUAGUGAGGACUUCGGACGGGGACCGAUGCGGCUUUCGGGCUGCGUCGGUAUUCUGGAAAGAUGUCCAAACUGUAUCAUUUAGAGGAAGUAAAAGUCGUAACA